ACGAACGCUAGCGGCGUGCCUAAGGUAUGCAAGUCGAACGGGGGCUUCGGCCCUAGUGGCGAACGGUCGAGUAACACGUAGACAACCUGCCCGCAAGUGGGGGGAUAACAGCUCGAAAGGGCUGCUAAUACCGCAUGUGGCCUGGGAGCGAUGGCUCUUAGCGCUAAAGAUUUAUUGCUUGCGGAUGGGUUCUGCGGCCUAUCAGGUAGUUGGUGAGGUAACGGGCCCACCAAGCCGACGACGGGUAGCGGGUCUGAGAGGAUGAUCCGCCGGACGGGGACUGAGACACGGCCCCGACUCCUUCGGGAGGCAGCAAUGAGGAAUAUUGCACAAUGGGCGAAAGCCUGAUGCAGCGACGCCGCGUGGGUGAGGAAGUUCUUCGGAAUGUAAAGCCCUUUUAUAUCGGGGACGAUCAAGGACGGUACCCGAUGAAUAAGCCCCGGCUAACUACGUGCCAGCAGCCGCGGUAAUACGUAGGGGGCAAGCGUUAUCCGGAUUUACUGGGCGUAAAGUGCGCGUAGGCGGACGUUUAAGUGUGGCCUGAAAGGCCCCCGGCUCAACCGGGGAUCCGGGUUGCAAACUGGACGUCUUGAGGGGGAUAGGGGGAAGGUGGAAUUCCUGGUGUAGCGGUGAAAUGCGUAGAGAUCAGGAGGAACACCCGUGGCGAAGGCGGCCUUCUGGGUCCGCCCUGACGCUGAGGCGCGAAAGCGUGGGGAGCGAACGGGAUUAGAUACCCCGGUAGUCCACGCCGUAAACGAUGAUUACUAGGUGUGUGUGGUAUCGACCCCACACGUGCCGCAGCCAACGCAAUAAGUAAUCCGCCUGGGGAGUACGGCCGCAAGGUUGAAACUCAAAGGAAUUGACGGGGGGCCCGCAACAAGCGGUGGAGCAUGUGGAUUAAUACGUCACUAACCGUAGAACCUUACCCAGGCUUGACAUCCCGGGAAUCUUCCUGAAAGGGAGGAGUGCUCGCAAGAGAGCCCGGAGACAGGUGUUGCAUGGCUGUCGUCAGCUCGUGUCGUGAGAUGUUGGGUUAAGUCCCGCAACGAGCGCAACCCUCACGGCCUGUUGCCAGCACUCGCAAGAGGAUGGGCACUCUGGCCGAACUGCCCGGGUAACCGGGAGGAAGGUGGGGAUGACGUCAAGUCAGCAUGGCCCUUACGCCUGGGGCUUCACACAUGCUACAAUGGCCGGUACAGAGGGUCCCAAGCCCGCGAGGGGGAGGCAAUCCCAAAAAAGCCGGUCUCAGUUCGGAUCGCAGGCUGCAACUCGCCUGCGUGAAGUUGGAAUCGCUAGUAACCGCCGGUCAGCUAAACGGCAGUGAAUACGUUCCCGGGCCUUGUACGCACCGCCCGUCACGUCCACCUGAGUCUGUUGCACCCCGAAGCCGCUGGCCCAACCGCAAGGAGGGAGGCGUCGAAGGUGUGGCCGGUAAGGGGGACG
rnacentral:rRNA from 1 species